rnacentral:rRNA from 1 species
AUGUUGCUGGACAAAUACAAGCUAAGGGCACACCCAUACAUGACGAAGCUGUUUGAGAUUCAGAAGAAAUGGGCUAAACCUUAUUUUGGGUAUUUUUGUGCAAAGAUGACCAACACAGAGAGGAGUGAGAGCGCGAACCAUAUGCUAAAAAAUUAUGUGCCUCCUGGGUGCCCAAUGCACAUGUUUGUGCAGAAGUACACAAGGCUACAAUUCGACCGGGAAUCGGAGGAGAACUAUGAAGAAAAAGAAUGUGAAUUGUAA